CAUGGCUCAGGAUGAACGCUGGCGGCGUGCCUAAUACAUGCAAGUCGAACGGUGGGCUUCGGCUCACAGUGGCGAACGGGUGAGUAACGCGUUGGUGACCUGCCCCGAAGUGUGGGAUAACAGACCGAAAGGUCUGCUAAUACCGCAUGUGCUGUGGAGAGACUAGAAACUUCACAGGAAAGGAUUUAUUCGCUUCGGGAGGGGCCUGCGUCCCAUCAGCUAGUUGGUAAGGUAACGGCUUACCAAGGCGAUGACGGGUAGGGGACCUGAGAGGGUGGCCCCCCACAAUGGAACUGAAACACGGUCCAUACACCUACGGGUGGCAGCAGUAGGGAAUAUUGCUUAAUGGGCGAAAGCCUGAAGCAGCAACGCCGCGUGUGCGAUGACGGCCUUCGGGUUGUAAAGCACUUUUGCGUGGGAAGAGGAAGGACGGUACCACGCGUCGUAAGCCUCGGCUAACUACGUGCCAGCAGCCGCGGUAAAACGUAGGAGGCGAGCGUUAUCCGGAUUUACUGGGUGUAAAGCGCGUGCAGGCGGUCUGUUAAGUUGGGUGUGAAAGCGCUUGGCUCAACCGGGCGAGGUCGCUCAAAACUGGCAGACUGGAGAAUGGUAGGGGAAGGUGGAAUUCCGGGUGUAGUGGUGAAAUGCGUAGAUAUCCGGAGGAACACCAGUGGCGAAGGCGGCCUUCUGGACCAUUUCUGACGCUCAGACGCGAAAGCUAGGGUAGCAAACGGGAUUAGAGACCCCGGUAGUCCUAGCCGUAAACGAUGUGAACUUGGCGCGUGGUGGGUCAAACCAUUACGUGCCGCAGCCAACGCGAUAAGUUCACCACCUGGGGACUACGGCCGCAAGGUUAAAACUCAAGGAAUUGACGGGGCCCGCACAAGCAGCGGAGCGUGUGGUUUAAUUCGAUGCUACACGAAGACCUUACCAGGCUUGACAU
rnacentral:rRNA from 1 species